GAAAUGCGAUAAGUAAUGUGAAUUGCAGAAUUCAGUGAAUCAUCGAAUCUUUGAACGCACCUUGCGCUCCUUGGUAUUCCUUGGAGCAUGCCUGUUUGAGUAUCAUGAAAUCUUCAAAGUAAAUCUUUUGUUAACUCAUUUGGUUUCUACUUUGGUAUUGGAGGUCUUUGCAGCUUCACACCUGCUCCUCUUUGUUCAUUAGCUGGAUCUCAGUGUUAUGCUUGGUUCCACUCGGCGUGAUAAGUUAUCUAUCGCUGAGGACACUGUAAAAGGUGGCCAAGGUAAAUGCAGAUGAACCGCUUCUAAUAGUCCAUUGACUUGGACAAUACUUUUAUGAUCUGAUCUCAAAUCAGGUAGGACUACCCGCUGAACUUAAGC
rnacentral:misc_RNA from 1 species